rnacentral:tRNA from 1 species
GUUCUUUUAUUAUAUUUUAGUAAAUUUGAUUUCCAAUCAAAAAGAUCAGCUUCUCUGAAAAGAAUA